GGGGCUGUCAGCUAGCCUGGCUAGGCGGCAAGCCUUGGGCGCUUGCGACCAGGGUUCAAAUCCCUGCAGCCCCA
rnacentral:tRNA from 3 species